CUGUGCAAACACAACACAGGACCCAAGCAGCUCUAGCCUGAUGGGCCCUCAGCUGGGGAGCUCACACCUGGUUGCCUCCCAGGGAUCAAUGAGCUGCUACAUUUCAAGAGACACCCCACCGAGCAGUGUGAACCAAAGGAAAUCAGCUAGCAAAAAGAAAGUACAUUUUAUAAUCGGCGGCUGAGAAAUUGGGGAACCUCUGGUUAGCUCCUGCUGAAAAAGAUACAAGGACAUCACGACUGCUUUUAUUCCAGGAAAGGCAUGUGGUAAUCCCAAAGAAUCAUCAGGAGGACAAUGAGGCACCUGGUGAAUUUGCCCUCAACCAGGGCUGUGCUGGAGCCCGUUCCGACUCGAUGAGAAAAGCGCAUUGUUGAAUUUUCAGUGUGAGCAUUUACACUUCAGAAAUUGGUGAACACUAGAAAUCAAAGGUUGAUUUGUUUUGUUGAUUGUCUCGCCUUAAGUAUUAAUAAUGCAGAGUGUAUUGUACCUUUUUUUUCAAAGCCAGUUGUUAAAUAUUUACCAGAAUACCCCUACCCUCAACUGAAGUUAAACUUUAAUCUUGAGACAGCCUUCCUGAAUUUACUGUGAAUCUCAGGACGUGCAGGGCUUUCCUUCUCUGACUGGCCCAAGGAUCAGAAUGAGCAUACUGGGUUCUUCCUCACCUCUGGACUCAGGACUCAUUUCUCUUUCUUCAGCCCUGCCCUCAGCCCAUAGCAUAAUCCUGCUCCUGAGCUACUAAAAGUCUUCCACAGUCUUGUGUUCUGCUGCCGUUAGGGAGCACAAAUUCCCAUGCAAACCUACCGACACACACGGCUUCUGAUGUUUCCCAUAACGGGGCAGUCUUUUUUUUUUUUUUAAAGAAGGCAGGACUGCGGGUAACACAGCUGGUGACAAUUAGAGUCAUCUGGCUGACUCAGCAAGAAAAGUGCAAGGAGCGGGAGGCUUCUGGGGGUGAAGGGUUUGCCCUAGAAACAGGAGAACAGUCCGUGUACAGGUCCAGAGGGAAAGAGGAGUACUUACCGAUUGAUAAGGCACUUGAACCUCUCUUAAAAUCAUUGCUCUCCUAGUCAUCUAGGAGAGCCUCCUAAGGCCACCAGGUGGUGGUGUGUGGAUACUGAAGAUGGGAGACUUUAUGCUGGGUUGAUUACACACCCCUGCAGGUUAUACUUCAGCUCAUUUUCCAGAUGAAGAAAUUGAGGCAGAGUUA